rnacentral:rRNA from 1 species
GUCUCUUCGGGGAUGAUUAAACCGGCGCACGGGUGAGUAACACGUGAGUGACCUGCCUUUUAGACUGGAACAACUUACCGAAAGGUGAGCUAAUGCCGGAUGAGUUAUAUAAGUGCAUGUUUAUAUAGGAAAAGUUGGGGAGACCUGACGCUGAAAGAUGGACUCGCGUCCCAUUAGCUAGUUGGUAGGGUAAUGGCCUACCAAGGCGACGAUGGGUAGCCGGCCUGAGAGGGUGGCCGGCCACACUGGGACUGAGACACGGCCCAGACUCCUACGGGAGGCAGCAGUGGGGAAUUUUGCGCAAUGCUCGUAAGAGUGACGCAACGACGCCGCGUGAAUGACGAAGGCCUUCGGGUCGUAAAGUUCUUUCGACAGGGAAGAAAAUGCCUAUAAGUAACUGUGUAUGUAUUGACGGUACCUGUAUAAGCAGCCCCGGCUAACUCCGUGCCAGCAGCCGCGGUAAUACGGAGGGGGCGAGCGUUGUUCGGAGUGACUGGGCGUAAAGAGCACGUAGGCGGUGUUGUAAGUCAUUAGUCAAAGACUAGAGCUCAACUUUAGUAAGGCUAGUGAUACUAUAAUACUAGAGUAUCAGAGAGGAUUGCAGAAUUCCUGGUGUAGCGGUGAAAUGCGUAGAUAUCAGGAGGAAUACCGUUAGCGAAGGCGGCAAUCUGGCUGGAAACUGACGCUGAGGUGCGAAAGCGUGGGUAGCAAACAGGAUUAGAUACCCUGGUAGUCCACGCUGUAAACGAU